CCCUUUUUGAGAGACACAACCAUGGGUAGAGUUCUUGUUGGGUUGAUGCUGCCACAAUUCCCUAUGAAGUAGUGGGUCUCUACAAUCAACUUAGCUGACAUGAUAUGGACACCGGGUUCAAAUUACACUCACAUGAGAACUCCUUCCCAACAUCUGAGUUUAAUUAGGAUUGCUGCACAACAGAAGAGCAUCAGAGAAGCAAUGCAGAUGAAAUCCAUGACAUUCAAAGAACCUGAGCAUCAGGUUACUGAUAUUCAAACCUGCAACACAAUGUUUUCGAUAUUUUCGAAAACUAAGUGCCCCUCGCUCCGUGCCCCUCCCUAGAGUGCCUGCUUGUAUCCCAUGGUUUGUUUGGCUUCUCUCACUGCC
ensembl:lncRNA